rnacentral:rRNA from 1 species
CCUACGGGAGGCAGCAGUCGAGAAUCAUUCACAAUGGGGGAAACCCUGAUGGUGCGACGCCGCGUGGGUGAAUGAAGGUCUCCGGAUUGUAAACCCCUGCCAUGUGGGAGCAAAUUAAAAAGAUAGUACCAUAAGAGGAAGAGACGGCUAACUCUGUGCCAGCAGCCGCGGUAAUACCGAGGUCUCAAGCGUUGUUCGGAAUCACGGGGCGUAAAGGGUGCGUAGGCUGUUUCGUAAGUCGUGUGUGAAGGGCGCGGGCUCAACCCGCGGACGGCACAUGAUACUGCGUGACUCGAGUAAUGGAGGGGGAACCGGAAUUCUCGGUGUAGCAGUGAAAUGCGUAGAGA